GUAAAUAAAUUUUGGAAACAUUAAAGGAUACAUAGAUCUUAGAGUACAGCACAAAAAUUUGGAACAACUUAUAAAUAGAUCUCCUGAGGGCCUGACUGUGCUUCAGUCUUUCAAAGCAAAAAAUUGCCUAAGCCAGGAACAGAGACAGUUUUUGGUUCAACUUCUCUUGGGGGAAGUUGAUAACAAUAGGAAUGCCAUCAAAAUGCAAACAUUAUGCACUUUACUUGACGAAAUAGUAGCUUUAUUUCCCUCCGAAGAAUCCAGGAAGAUUUUUGGAGCCUUGGAAGUGCAUCCUCUAUUCUUUGGCCGCAAUGGAAUUCCAAGGCAUUUGCAUAACGAUCUAUACUAAAUAAGUUUUCACACCAUUACAAAGUACAUUAAAUCAUAAUUAAUCUCAUAAAUGCUUUAAGAAUAUCUGUAGAAAUUUUUGUACACUAAGGAAAAUCUAAAUAAAUAUUUUUUUAUGGGAGGGGUGGAUCCUUCUCAUUGUUACAUAGCA
rnacentral:misc_RNA from 1 species